GAUGAACGCUGGCGGCGUGCCUAAUACAUGCAAGUCGAGCGAACAGACGAGGACCUUGCUCCUCUGACGUUAGCGGCGGGCGGGUGUGUAACACGUGGAAACCCCACCUAUAAGACUGGUAUAACUUCGGGAAACCGGCUCUAAUUCGGUAUAAUAUAUUUAACCGCAUGGUCUAAUAGGAAAAGACUUUUUUUCGGUCACUUAUAGAUGGAUCCGCGCCGCUUUAGCUAGUUGGUAAGGUAACGGCUUACCAAGGCAACGAGGCGUAGCCGAACGGGGAGGGUGGUCGGCCACACGGGAAGGGAGACAGGCACCAGACUACUGAGGGAGGGAGCAGUCGGCAACGUGACGCAAUGGGCGAGAGCCUGACGGAGUAACGCCGCGUCAGUGAUGACGGUCUUCGGAUCGUAAAACUCUGUUAUUAGGGAAGAACCACUGUGUACGUAAAUAUGCACGUAGUGACGGUACCUAAUCAGAAAGCACCGGCUAACUACGUG
rnacentral:rRNA from 1 species